rnacentral:rRNA from 1 species
GUAGGGAAUCUUCCACAAUGGGCGCAAGCCUGAUGGAGCAACACCGCGUGAGUGAAGAAGGGUUUCGGCUCGUAAAGCUCUGUUGUUGGAGAAGAACGUGCGUGAGAGUAACUGUUCACGCAGUGACGGUAUCCAACCAGAAAGUCACGGCUAACUACGUGCCAGCAGCCGCGGUAAUACGUAGGUGGCAAGCGUUAUCCGGAUUUAUUGGGCGUAAAGCGAGCGCAGGCGGUUUGAUAAGUCUGAAGUUAAAGGCUGUGGCUCAACCAUAGUACGCUUUGGAAACUGUCAAACUUGAGUGCAGAAGGGGAGAGUGGAAUUCCAUGUGUAGCGGUGAAAUGCGUAGAUAUAUGGAAGAACACCAGUGGCGAAGGCGGCUGUCUGGUCUGCAACUGACGCUGAGGCUCGAAAGCAUGGGUAGCGAACAGGAUUAGAAACCCUAGUAGUCC